rnacentral:rRNA from 1 species
GUCUCUUCGGUAUCACGUGGAGUCGGAGAUCUUCCCAGUGGGUGUACGCAUCUAAACGGGGGCGGUAAUGAGUCCAAAGGUAGCUAAAUUACUGGACCAGUAAUUCUGGUUCAUACAUUAAAAAGUGAAGGGGCUGACGAGUCUUUAACUGUCUCUAAACAAAUUCGUUGGAAAUUUAGUUGAAAGUGCAAACGCUUUCGUGGGUUAGAAAGACGAGAAGACCCUAUGAAGUUUUUCUAGCGGUUCCCGGGAUUACACGGACUUAGGCCCUUUAUUAUUUACGGGACUACGAUAGGGUGCUCUACCGGUUUACUUGGUCACACCAUAAAUCGAGUUUGUCGGAUUCCUAGAGUAAUUCGGUGUAGGCUCCCUGGGCGUAGCUUUUGCUGGGGCAGCAGGAGAGCAGAACUAGCCUCUACCGCUGGUAAGAGAAGCUGAUAUGCCGUUGAUCCACUGGAGAAAAGGAGGCGAUCAGGAGAAAGAGUUACUCUAGGGAUAACAGCGUAAUUUUGCCUAUUGAGGACGUAUUGAUAGGCAAGGUUGCGACCUCGAUGUUGGCUCUGGGUAUCCGUGGACAUAGCAGGAGGUCCAAAUGGUUGGUUUGUUCGCCCAUUAAAACCCGACG